AACGAACGCUGGCGGCAGGCCUAACACAUGCAAGUCGAACGCCCCGCAAGGGGAGUGGCAGACGGGUGAGUAACGCGUGGGAACGUACCCUUCGGUUCGGAAUAACCCGGGGAAACUCGGGCUAAUACCGGAUACGUCCGCAAGGAGAAAGAUUUAUCGCCGAAGGAUCGGCCCGCGUCGGAUUAGCUAGUUGGUGGGGUGAUGGCCUACCAAGGCGACGACGGGUAGCCGGCCUGAGAGGGCGACCGGCCACACUGGGACNGAGACACGGCCCAGACUCCUACGGGAGGCAGCAGUGGGGAAUCUUGCGCAAUGGGCGAAAGCCUGACGCAGCGACGCCGCGUGAGGGAUGACGGCC
rnacentral:rRNA from 1 species